rnacentral:rRNA from 1 species
UACAGAGGGUGCGAGCGUUGUCCGGAAUCACUGGGCGUAAAGGGCGCGUAGGUGGCGCCGCAAGUCCAUGGUGAAAGCUCGAUGCUCAACAUCGAGUCGGCCACGGAGACUGCGGGGCUCGAGCAUUGUAGGGGCAGAUGGAAUUCCGGGUGUAGCGGUGAAAUGCGCAGAUAUCAGGAAGAACACCCGUGGCGAAGGCGGCUCUCUGGGACGGUACUGACGCUGAGACGCGAAAGCGUGGGGAGCGAACAGG